AACGAACGCUGGCGGCAGGCUUAACACAUGCAAGUCGAACGCGUGUAGCAAUACACGAGUGGCGCACGGGUGAGUAACGCGUGGAUAUCUGCCCUUUGGUUCGGAAUAACUCCGGGAAACUGGAGCUAAUACCGGAUGGUUCCUUCGGGAUAAAGAUUUAUCGCCAAAAGAUGAGUCCGCGUACGAUUAGCUAGUUGGUGAGGUAAUGGCUCACCAAGGCGACGAUCGUUAGCUGGUCUGAGAGGACGAUCGGCCACACUGGGACUGAGACACGGCCCAGACUCCUACGGGAGGCAGCAGUGGGGAAUAUUGGACAAUGGGGGCAACCCUGAUCCAGCCAUGCCGCGUGAGUGAUGAAGGCCUUCGGGUUGUAAAGCUCUUUUGGCGGGGACGAUGAUGACGGUACCCGCAGAAUAAGCCCCGGCUAACUUCGUGCCAGCCGCCGCCGUAACAC
rnacentral:rRNA from 1 species